CCCUGUAUAGCUCAAAUGGUUAGAGCACUGCACCUGAAUUGCAAGGUCCCAGAUUCAAUUCCUGCCAGAGGGC